rnacentral:misc_RNA from 1 species
AAUCAAUCAUAAGAACAAGUUUUCAAAGAAGGAAAAUGCAUUUAGCGUGAUGCGUCAAAACGGAUUUUUUCGAAAGAAGAUCAAGUCACCAAAAUACAUAAUGGGCAUUGCUAUCAUAGUGUUGCUGAUAAUUAUUGCAUAAGGCACAGAUAUUAAAACACCUCGAAGGAUACUGGAUUAGGAAGUCGUUUCGUUUGCGUAGCACAAGAUAAAAUUCUCUCCUAAGAAUUGAGUUGGGUAUGCCAAGAUGUCUUUGACAGAUGAAACAGACAUGCACAGAAGACAGGUUCAGUUUUAUGAACAGGCUCAGGCUGGAAAGCUUCAAAACACGGCAGAUCUGUACCAUGAAAUAGAGAACCUUAAGAUGAAAGUGAAACAGCUUGAAAAAGGGCACAAGGAGUAUCCGAAGGUGCCGAUGCUGAAUUACAAGGACAGGAAAAGGAUUCUGAUUACUGGUGGUGCAGGAUUUGUUGGUUCACACCUUGUGGAUAAGUUGAUGAUGCAGGGCCACGAAGUCUAUGUUGUGGACAACUUCUUCACUGGGCGUAAGAAAAAUGUAGAACACUGGAUUGGACAUGAAAACUUUGAGCUGAUACAUGCAGAUAUAGUAAACCCGCUCUUUAUUGAAGUGGAUCAGAUAUACCAUCUGGCAUCCCCUGCUUCCCCUCCAAACUACAUGUACAACCCAGUGAAGACACUGAAAACCAAUACCAUAGGGACCAUCAACAUGCUUGGUUUAGCCAAAAGAUGUAGAGCAAGGAUGUUGUUAUCUUCGACAUCUGAGGUGUAUGGAGACCCUGAAGUACAUCCCCAGAGUGAAGAUUAUUGGGGUCAUGUGAACCCUAUAGGGCCCAGAUCCUGUUAUGAUGAAGGCAAAAGAGCGGCUGAAAGCCUAAUGUAUGCUUACAAGAAACAGGAGCAAGUUGAAAUUCGAGUGGCAAGGAUUUUUAACACUUUUGGUCCACGUAUGCACAUGAAUGAUGGACGUGUUGUCUCAAACUUCAUUCUGCAGUCAUUGCAAGAUCAGCAUAUCACAAUAUAUGGGAAGGGAGAGCAGACGAGAUCAUUCCAGUAUGUAAGUGAUCUGGUUGAUGGUCUUGAGGCACUGAUGAAUAGUGACUAUGAUCAGCCAGUUAAUAUUGGAAAUCCUGAUGAGUACACGAUAAAUGAAUUUGCUACAGCUAUAAAACAAAGAGUUGGUGGCAAAAGCAAGAUAAUCCAUAAACAGUCUGUGACAGACGAUCCAAGUAGACGUAAACCAGACAUUUCCAGAGCUAAACAGUAUCUAAACUGGGAACCUAAGGUGAAGGUCAUGGAUGGAGUCAACAAGACAAUAGAAUAUUUCCGACAGGAGCUUCGGCUUUCCAACAUGAUUCCAUAGAAACAUCUCAAGUAAUCUUUGUGACUUUGAAAGUAAAACUGUACUAUGAUGAUGUGUCCAUUUUUGAAGGACACAUAGAACGUGGGUUUUAUUUUUUCAGAUACAAAGCCUAUAACUCUUGGGCUAAUAGUCAAUUCAGUGCAAAAUCCAGUUGAGGAGACUGGGGUCUCUCUCUCCACUAUUAAAAGCUGAUAUGUCUUCAUAUGACCUUCUUUGUGCCAGUAAGGCUUAACAGACAACUGAAAACAACAGACCAUAUUUAACCAAAGACCAAACAGCUCUUAAGUCCACAAGUUUCAUCAUUUGCAGUGUAUUGUAAUCUGUAAAUGGAGAUCAUCUGCAAAAAAACCACUUUUGAUUCUUUCAAGUGUGGCUAGUCAAUGUGUACAAUUGUGACUUUGCUGGAAUUAAGUUUAUAAACAGGUCAGGUAAUAAGACCAUUUUUUUUAAAGAAACAGACAUUCCUUUUAUGGAAAUAUAUGGUAGAAUUUAUCUUAAAUUGGUAGUAGUCACAUCAUUUUGACUUCACUUACUUUAAAUAGAUGAUUAUUUGAAUAACACACUUUUAAGAUUAUUUUUCAGGUAACUAGGUAUGGUCUGGUUUUGAAAUUGUUAAUUUGAAAAUUUAAAAUUGUAUGUUUGUUUUGCACUGGCAAUCAUUUUACCAGCAGUAGCUUGUUACAGCUAGAUUUUAAUGAUUUUUGUAAGAGGUAAAAAUGGAGGUCUUUUUUACCUCCUAGAUUUACCACAAUCCUCAUUUUUGUGACAAAUGCUACAAAGUCCAUUUCCGCCACAGUCCCCACUCCCCUCCCCCCCCUCCCCACCCACACACAAACACACACAAUACUGUGGUUGAACUGAGAAGGCAUGAUUUGUGUCCCACUGUAUGAAAUACACUGAGACAACUUGACAAAAAUGGGUGUUUUGAGUCAUUUGUUCUCCACCUGUGAGUCAUGCGGAGAAUUUGACUGUUAGUUGUGGAAAACAGUUAUGUACUGAUACACAUUCCAGAAGCAAUGUUUGGUUAAAUGACAGUCAGUAUGUAACAGAAAUACUUCAUUUAACAAUUCAGACAAUCAAACAAACCAAGAAACAUAUUGUCCCACUUUUACUUUCUGCAAACUUACAUCAAUGUUAAGUGUGUGGUUUUCUCAAAAGUAUUUUUUUGUGUGUUUUUGUUACCAAGUGAUGUAUAUCUCUGUACUAAAUCUGUAUUGUUUUUCAAUUUAGAAAAAUAGGGGGGAAAUUCGGACCUGGUAUUAUGACUGUUAGACCUAUGAUACAUUAAAUGUCAAAACUACAUAGGAUACAUUUAUGGUUGAAGGCUUAUGAUACAUUUAGUGUCACAAGACCUGUGAUACAUUUAGUGUUGUAAGACAUUUAUGAUGCAUUUAGUGUUAUAAGACCUACAACAUCAUUUUGUGUUGUAAGGCCCUAUGAUACGUUUGGUGUUACAAGAUCUUUCAUGUAUUUAGUGUUAUAGGACCUUUUAUAUAUUUUGGUUAGAAGACCUACAAUAUAUCAAGUAAAUAAAUCACAUAUACUAAAUUACCAGCAGUGGGAAAUUAUAUUGAAAACGAAAUUUAAGCACAAGUAUUUCAGAAUUGUAAGGGAAAAAUAUUCUCAUUUUGCUCAGACAGUCAUUGUGUUUCAAAAAGUAAACUAACAUUUCCUUGUGUUAUGUCAUGUAUGUGGAAUGAAAAGGAUAUUUGUUUAUAAUUUUAGGAAUGCUUGAUUUUAUAUUUUUACUUUUUAGUUAAUUCUAUUCAUCUGUACUAAAAGCAAUAAAGCAGUUUAAAAAAUUCAUAUAUUUGAUCCAAAUUAUCCAGAUUUACUAUCUUGCUGCUGCAUUUUGGGCAAGACAGAAAUUGAUUUUGAAAGAGUGUUCUCCCUUUGACAGAGUUGAACCUGAUAGUUCUCCAUAUUACCAUACCUGCAGUAAAACAUCAGAUGGAGUAUUUAUAACUGAUAUAUUUAUUAAUAAGCAGUUGCAGCUAGAAUAUCGAUGCCAUGUUGUUGUUUUUUUAUGUGCAGAUGUUUGCAGUAAAAUCUAAUGCAGAAUACUGGUAUAUGCACAGAGAUAAAUGACUGUAAUUUUGAAACAGAAAAUGAUAAAUUUGUGAAAAUUA